GUGCCAGCCGCCGCGGUAAUACGUAGGUGGCGAGCGUUGUCCGGAAUUACUGGGCGUAAAGCGCGCGUAGACGGCUUAGUAAGUCAGAUGUGAAAGACCCGGGCUCAACCUGGGGGCGGCAUCUGAGACUGGUGAGCUUGAGUGCAGGAGAGGCAAGUGGAAUUCCCAGUGUAGCAGUGAAAUGCGUAGAGAUUGGGAGGAACACCAGUGGCGAAGGCGACUUGCUGGACUGUAACUGACGUUGAGGUGCGAAAGCUAGGGGAGCAAACGGGAUUAGAUGCCCCGGUA
rnacentral:rRNA from 1 species